AGUGAACGCUGGCGGUAGGCCUAACACAUGCAAGUCGAACGGCAGCACAGUAAGAGCUUGCUCUUACGGGUGGCGAGUGGCGGACGAGUGAGGAAUACAUCGGAAUCUACUUUUUCGUGGGGGAUAACGUAGGGAAACUUACGCUAAUACUGCAUACGACCUACGGGUGAAAGCAGGGGAUCUUCGGACCUUGCGCGAUUGAAUGAGCCGAUGUCGGAUUAGCUAGUUGGCGGGGUAAAGGCCCACCAAGGCGACGAUCCGUAGCUGGUCUGAGAGGAUGAUCAGCCACACUGGAACUGAGACACGGUCCAGACUCCUACGGGAGGCAGCAGUGGGGAAUAUUGGACAAUGGGCGCAAGCCUGAUCCAGCCAUGCCGCGUGGGUGAAGAAGGCCUUCGGGUUGUAAAGCCCUUUUGUUGGGAAAGAAAAGCAGCAGGUUAAUACCCCGCUGUUCUGACGGUACCCAAAGAAUAAGCACCGGCUAACUUCGUG
rnacentral:rRNA from 1 species